UACGGAGGGGGCUAGCGUUGUUCGGAAUUACUGGGCGUAAAGCGCACGUAGGCGGAUAUUUAAGUCAGGGGUGAAAUCCCGGGGCUCAACCCCGGAACUGCCUUUGAUACUGGGUAUCUGGAGGUCGAGAGAGGCGAGUGGAAUUCCGAGUGUAGAGGUGAAAUUCGUAGAUAUUCGGAGGAACACCAGUGGCGAAGGCGGCUCGCUGGCUCGAUACUGACGCUGAGGCGCGAAAGCGUGGGGAGCAAACAGG
rnacentral:rRNA from 1 species